rnacentral:rRNA from 1 species
AGUUUGAAACCUGGCUCAGAUUGAACGCUGGCGGCAGGCCUAACACAUGCAAGUCGAGCGGUAGCACAGAGAGCUUGCUCUCGGGUGACGAGCGGCGGACGGGUGAGUAAUGUCUGGGAAACUGCCUGAUGGAGGGGGAUAACUACUGGAAACGGUAGCUAAUACCGCAUAAUGUCGCAAGACCAAAGUGGGGGACCUUCGGGCCUCAUGCCAUCAGAUGUGCCCAGAUGGGAUUAGCUAGUAGGUGGGGUAACGGCUCACCUAGGCGACGAUCCCUAGCUGGUCUGAGAGGAUGACCAGCCACACUGGAACUGAGACACGGUCCAGACUCCUACGGGAGGCAGCAGUGGGGAAUAUUGCACAAUGGGCGCAAGCCUGAUGCAGCCAUGCCGCGUGUGUGAAGAAGGCCUUCGGGUUGUAAAGCACUUUCAGCGGGGAGGAAGGCGAUAAGGUUAAUAACCUUGGCGAUUGACGUUACCCGCAGAAGAAGCACCGGCUAACUCCGUGCCAGCAGCCGCGGUAAUACGGAGGGUGCAAGCGUUAAUCGGAAUUACUGGGCGUAAAGCGCACGCAGGCGGUCUGUCAAGUCGGAUGUGAAAUCCCCGGGCUCAACCUGGGAACUGCAUUCGAAACUGGCAGGCUAGAGUCUUGUAGAGGGGGGUAGAAUUCCAGGUGUAGCGGUGAAAUGCGUAGAGAUCUGGAGGAAUACCGGUGGCGAAGGCGGCCCCCUGGACAAAGACUGACGCUCAGGUGCGAAAGCGUGGGGAGCAAACAGGAUUAGAUACCCUGGUAGUCCACGCCGUAAACGAUGUCGAUUUGGAGGUUGUGCCCUUGAGGCGUGGCUUCCGGAGCUAACGCGUUAAAUCGACCGCCUGGGGAGUACGGCCGCAAGGUUAAAACUCAAAUGAAUUGACGGGGGCCCGCACAAGCGGUGGAGCAUGUGGUUUAAUUCGAUGCAACGCGAAGAACCUUACCUGGUCUUGACAUCCACAGAACUUUCCAGAGAUGGAUUGGUGCCUUCGGGAACUGUGAGACAGGUGCUGCAUGGCUGUCGUCAGCUCGUGUUGUGAAAUGUUGGGUUAAGUCCCGCAACGAGCGCAACCCUUAUCCUUUGUUGCCAGCGGUUCGGCCGGGAACUCAAAGGAGACUGCCAGUGAUAAACUGGAGGAAGGUGGGGAUGACGUCAAGUCAUCAUGGCCCUUACGACCAGGGCUACACACGUGCUACAAUGGCAUAUACAAAGAGAAGCGACCUCGCGAGAGCAAGCGGACCUCAUAAAGUAUGUCGUAGUCCGGAUUGGAGUCUGCAACUCGACUCCAUGAAGUCGGAAUCGCUAGUAAUCGUAGAUCAGAAUGCUACGGUGAAUACGUUCCCGGGCCUUGUACACACCGCCCGUCACACCAUGGGAGUGGGUUGCAAAAGAAGUAGGUAGCUUAACCUUCGGGAGGGCGCUACC